rnacentral:lncRNA from 1 species
UUAGAAUGGGGUUGAUACUGCUUGUGAUAUUCUCCAUCAUAUUAGUUUCCUAACUUGUCUGGUUUUGUCUCAGAUAGUUUGGUGCCAUGACCCAGGAUCUGAACUUAUCUUCAGAUUUUCAUUUACCCUAGCCAGGUCAUAAGGCCAUUUGGAGCCUUUUGUACUCCAUUUCUCGCUGGAAGUCCAGAGAUCUAAAGUUUCUUUGGAGUUUCCAUCAAGACACAGUUUGCACUGACCAUCACCAUGGCCUCCAGUUUUCAACUGGGCACUUAGAACCUAUUAUGUCUCACUGCUUGCUGCUUGUCAAGUCCAGAGUGAUAGAGUAGCUGUGCCAGUUUGGAUUCCUACCAACAGUGCAUGAAGGUUCACCUUUCUUAGCAUCCUCG